UUUAGCGCAUGUGUACACCUGUCUUGAACUAGCGUCCUUCACCACCCUCUUCUUGCGUCACGAUGACCUGUCCGUGUUGUCUUCUCUGAUCUGCGUAUCGGAAUGAUAAUAAACGUCAAACGUCUUAUGGUCCGGUGAUGAAAUGUAACCAGCUGUUCCUAAGACACUCACCUCUGUUGCUUUCAGGUUAUAGCAACGUUUUCGUCACUGAACUUUCAGAUUAUAGCAACGUUUUCGUCAUUAAGCUCUCAUGUUUUAGCAUUUUAAUUCAAGUUCCAACACGAGAAUAUCGUCGACUCCUACGUCCCUUGCCCCCUUGUAUUUUACGAGGCGACCAAGGGUAGACAUAAACAUUUCUUUAAUAAAAAAAAAAAAAAAUAAAUAAAUAAACCUGUUCUGACGCCCUUUCUUUCUGUCCCUCUCCACGUAGGGCACCGACUCCACCCCGAGAACCGGAGGACUGCCUUCAUUAUUCGUCUUCCUUUUAAACUCCUCUGUCUCGAGUUACACUUUUGGGCUGUUUAACAUGAUAAGGCGUGACGCGUACAUGAUGGACUCCCCGUUCCUUAUCAGUCAUGGACGAGUCACUCUUGCUGUAGAGAUUCCACCGUCAUGUCCUCGGAAUGCCAAAGGGAAUUCGGUUGAACGCCCCAGUGACUAGAGUCCUUGUGCUGUAGGUCGGCCAUGAAUCUACCUCCCUUUCGUUUACUACUACAUAAAUAUUUGCACGCGUGCGGAGACG